GACGAACGCUGGCGGCGUGCCUAAUACAUGCAAGUUGAGCGCUGAAGGUUGGUACUUGUACCAACUGGAUGAGCAGCGAACGGGUGAGUAACGCGUGGGGAAUCUGCCUUUGAGCGGGGGACAACAUUUGGAAACGAAUGCUAAUACCGCAUAAAAACUUUAAACACAAGUUUUAAGUUUGAAAGAUGCAAUUGCAUCACUCAAAGAUGAUCCCGCGUUGUAUUAGCUAGUUGGUGAGGUAAAGGCUCGCCAAGGCGAUGAUACAUAGCCGACCUGAGAGGGUGAUCGGCCACAUUGGGACUGAGACACGGCCCAAACUCCUACGGGAGGCAGCAGUAGGGAAUCUUCGGCAAUGGACGAAAGUCUGACCGAGCAACGCCGCGUGAGUGAAGAAGGUUUUCGGAUCGUAAAACUCGGUUGGUAGAGAAGAACGUUGGUGAGAGUGGAAAGCUCAUCAAGUGACGGUAACUACCCAGAAAGGGACGGCUAACUACGUG
rnacentral:rRNA from 1 species